rnacentral:rRNA from 1 species
UCCCAAAGUCAUGGUUAAGUGGGAAACGAUGUGGGAAGGCCCAGACAGCCAGGAUGUUGGCUUAGAAGCAGCCAUCAUUUAAAGAAAGCGUAAUAGCUCACUGGUCGAGUCGGCCUGCGCGGAAGAUGUAACGGGGCUAAACCAUGCACCGAAGCUGCGGCAGCGACGCUUAUGCGUUGUUGGGUAGGGGAGCGUUCUGUAAGCCUGUGAAGGUGUGCUGUGAGGUAUGCUGGAGGUAUCAGAAGUGCGAAUGCUGACAUAAGUAACGAUAAAGCGGGUGAAAAGCCCGCUCGCCGGAAGACCAAGGGUUCCUGUCCAACGUUAAUCGGGGCAGGGUGAGUCGACCCCUAAGGCGAGGCCGAAAGGCGUAGUCGAUGGGAAACAGGUUAAUAUUCCUGUACUUGGUGUUACUGCGAAGGGGGGACGGAGAAGGCUAUGUUGGCCGGGCGACGGUUGUCCCGGUUUAAGCGUGUAGGCUGGUUUUCCAGGCAAAUCCGGAAAAUCAAGGCCGAGGCGUGAUGACGAGGCACUACGGUGCUGAAGCAACAAAUGCCCUGCUUCCAGGAAAAGCCUCUAAGCAUCAGGUAACAUCAAAUCGUACCCCAAACCGACACAGGUGGUCAGGUAGAGAAUACCAAGGCGCUUGAGAGAACUCGGGUGAAGGAACUAGGCAAAAUGGUGCCGUAACUUCGGGAGAAGGCACGCUGAUACGUAGGUGAAGCGACUUGCUCGUGGAGCUGAAAUCAGUCGAAGAUACCAGCUGGCUGCAACUGUUUAUUAAAAACACAGCACUGUGCAAACACGAAAGUGGACGUAUACGGUGUGACGCCUGCCCGGUGCCGGAAGGUUAAUUGAUGGGGUUAGCGCAAGCGAAGCUCUUGAUCGAAGCCCCGGUAAACGGCGGCCGUAACUAUAACGGUCCUAAGGUAGCGAAAUUCCUUGUCGGGUAAGUUCCGACCUGCACGAAUGGCGUAAUGAUGGCCAGGCUGUCUCCACCCGAGACUCAGUGAAAUUGAACUCGCUGUGAAGAUGCAGUGUACCCGCGGCAAGACGGAAAGACCCCGUGAACCUUUACUAUAGCUUGACACUGAACAUUGAGCCUUGAUGUGUAGGAUAGGUGGGAGGCUUUGAAGUGUGGACGCCAGUCUGCAUGGAGCCGACCUUGAAAUACCACCCUUUAAUGUUUGAUGUUCUAACGUGGACCCGUGAUCCGGGUUGCGGACAGUGUCUGGUGGGUAGUUUGACUGGGGCGGUCUCCUCCUAAAGAGUAACGGAGGAGCACGAAGGUUGGCUAAUCCUGGUCGGACAUCAGGAGGUUAGUGCAAUGGCAUAAGCCAGCUUGACUGCGAGCGUGACGGCGCGAGCAGGUGCGAAAGCAGGUCAUAGUGAUCCGGUGGUUCUGAAUGGAAGGGCCAUCGCUCAACGGAUAAAAGGUACUCCGGGGAUAACAGGCUGAUACCGCCCAAGAGUUCAUAUCGACGGCGGUGUUUGGCACCUCGAUGUCGGCUCAUCACAUCCUGGGGCUGAAGUAGGUCCCAAGGGUAUGGCUGUUCGCCAUUUAAAGUGGUACGCGAGCUGGGUUUAGAACGUCGUGAGACAGUUCGGUCCCUAUCUGCCGUGGGCGCUGGAGAACUGAGGGGGGCUGCUCCUAGUACGAGAGGACCGGAGUGGACGCAUCACUGGUGUUCGGGUUGUCAUGCCAAUGGCACUGCCCGGUAGCUAAAUGCGGAAGAGAUAAGUGCUGAAAGCAUCUAAGCACGAAACUUGCCCCGAGAUGAGUUCU